AGAAACCGACCUGGCUUACGCCGGUCUGAACUCAAAUCAUGUAGGAUUUAAAGGUCGAACAGACCCUCCUUUAUAACUGCUGCAUUAUAAGGAAACCUUUAUUCAACAUCGAGGUCGCAACCCUUCCUGUCGAUAUGGACUCUCAAAGAAGAUUACGCUGUUAUCCCUAAAGUAACUUAAUCUUAUGAUCUCUAAAAGAGGAUCAUUAAUUUUCCAGAAAUUCCUGUUAUUAAAUAGCUUAAGAACAGUUACUCAUUAUAUUCCCGUCGCCCCAACGCAACAAAUAUUAUCUAAAAUCAAGUUAUACUAACAAUUUAUAAUAUAGAUAACUUAUUGUAAAGCUUUAUAGGGUCUUAUCGUCCCCUUAAGUUAUUUAAGCCUUUUCACUUAAAAGUUAAAUUCAAUAAAUAUAAUUGAGACAGUUUGCUUUUUGUCCAACCAUUCAUACAAGCCUCCAAUUAAGAGACUAAUGAUUAUGCUACCUUCGCACGGUCAGUAUACCGCGGCCCUUUAAAAUAAAUCAGUGGGCAGGCCAGACUUUACAUACCAAUCAUAUAGACAUGUUUUUGAUAAACAGGCAAAAGCAUUAUUUGCCGAGUUCCUUAAUUAUAUCUCAUAUUAACUAAAAAUUCUUUCUUAUUUUAAAUUGUUACUACACAACUUAUUUCUACUAAUAAAAUCAUUAUUACUUUCAAUGAUAUAUUUAUUAAAAGAGACAGAUAAUUACUACUAAACCUUCACUAUAUAAAUAUUAAUUAAUGAAUUUACAUUAACUAGAACGCUUUAUUAAUAUGGCUGUUUUUAAGCCUAAUUCAAUAAUACUUAAAUCCAUUUCAUUAUAGUAAACUUAUUAUUAGAAUAAGAAGCUCUUCCCUCCUACUCUUUAUUACUUUAAAGCUUUCUUCAACCUCAAAGCAACUAAAUUUAAUUUAAUUCUCUAUCAACCAGAUAUGAAAAAUCGACUAGCAUUUCACUACUAAUAUAAAUUUUAUAAUUUCAUUAAUACGAAAACUAUCUAUUUAUAUUAGCUCUUUCUCUUUCGGGAUUACUUAUCUUAUUAAGAUUAUUUUGAUUUUCCCUAAUACACAAGGUACAAGUGUUUAACUCUACUUUAUAUUAAUUAAAUUUUCAAUUUAUUUCACCUUUCCUUUACAGUACUUUAUUCUAUAACUCUUUUUAAUUUUUUUUCGAUUCACUCUACUAAAACAAUAAUAUUUCAAAAUAUUUUUAUUACUUUUAAAUUUAUUUAUUGCGGACUAUUUAUGUUAGCAAGGUUUAAUUUUCAAGAUGCAUUGAUUUGCACAACGAACUUCUCAACGUAAGUGAGAGUGCUUAACUGUUCAAGCUCCAUCUUGAAUUUCUAGGUACACUUUCCAGUAC
rnacentral:rRNA from 1 species